AGAUGCUCAGCUAAUAGAAAACAUUCAACUGCUUUUGUGUUUCAGAAAAAAAAGAAACAAGAAAGUGAAGAGCUUCAUCCAAAUUCCUACCACUAAUUAUUUUUAGUAAUAAUUAGCUGGGACUACUACAUAUACUUCGGACUCACAUUUGAGGCUGAAUAGUCACACAAUGGCCAUCUGCAAGCUGAAGAGCCAGCCAAACUAGCAUCUACUCCAUCCGAGAUGCUGGAAACCUCAGAGCAAGAGAGACCAAUGAUGCAGCCCCAACCCAAGGCUUAAGGGCUAGAAGAUUGCUAGAAACUUGCUGAUGUGAAUUUAAAUUCAAAGGCUGAAGAAGCUGAAGUCUGAAAUUUGCAAGUGACAGCAGUAGCAGCAGGAAAAAAAAUGCCAUUACCACCAAAACCACCUGCUGAAGAAGAAUCCAGCUUUCACAGGUUUUCGUGGGAAAAUAUUUCAUAAAGAGGAGCUUCAUCUGGGUAUUUUUCACUGCAUGUGAACUUGAGGGCAGUCUGGAC
rnacentral:lncRNA from 1 species